GACGAACGCUGGCGGCGUGCUUAACACAUGCCAGUCGAACGGGAAGGCCCUGCUUUUGUGCGGUGCUCGAGUUGCGAACGGGUGAGUAACACGUGAGUAACCUGCCCUUGACUUUGGGAUAACUUCAGGAAACUGGGGCUAAUACCGGAUAGGAGCUCCUGCUGCAUAGUGGGGGUUGGAAAGUUUCGGCGGUUGGGGAUGGACUCGCGGCUUAUCAGCUUGUUGGUGGGGUAGUGGCUUACCAAGGCAUUGACGGGUAGCCGGCCUGGGAGGGUCACCGGCCACAUUGGGACUGGGAUGAGGCCCAGACUCCUACGGGAGGCAACAGUGGAGAAUAGUGCACUAUGGGCGGAAGCCAGAUGCAGCCACGCCGCGUGCGGGAUGACGGCCUUCGGGUUGUAAACCGCUUUCGCCUGUGACGAAGUGUGAGUGACGGUAAUGGGUAAAGAAGCACCGGCUAACUACGUG
rnacentral:rRNA from 1 species